UACGUAGGGGGCAAGCGUUGUCCGGAAUCAUUGGGCGUAAAGCGCACGUAGGCGGUUUCUCAAGUCAGAGGUGAAAGCCCGGAGCUCAACUCCGGAAUAGCCUUUGAAACUAGGAAACUUGAACGUCGGAGAGGUGAGUGGAAUUCCGAGUGUAGAGGUGAAAUUCGUAGAUAUUCGGAAGAACACCAGUGGCGAAGGCGGCUCACUGGACGACUGUUGACGCUGAGGUGCGAAAGCGUGGGGAGCAAACAGG
rnacentral:rRNA from 1 species